CAGGGCCCUGGAAAUGGCGAGUCGCAGCGCCCCCGCCUGGCUAGCUCUGCCGCCGCCACUCACAGUGCAGUCCAGGUCGAAGCGUCCCAGCAUGCCAGUGAACUGAAGUGGGAACAUCAGCUGCUCUCUGACAACAGAGGUUGCAUCCAGCCACAGUAGAGGGGGAAGGUGAGCUGUGUUUCCCCCGGGGCUGUGGCCAUAAAGGGCUCACCAGAGCAGCGAGCGUGUUAAUGUACCACGCAGGCUGAGCCAAACGACAGCCAGAAGAGAGCAGCGAACCAGUACGCCGGCAUUACACGCCACCGCCCCCUCCUGGCAGCACAACAGAGGUUUGGUUGAUGGUUCAAGAUGGGAAAAAAUGAAAGGUGGAGGAAACCGGAAGGAAAAGAGUGAGCCUGUAAUGGCACAGACAGGCAGUCCAUGCUGACAGACAUGUCUGACAUACUUAUUUAAACCAGCAGCAGGGGGUGCAAACUGGCUGUAGGGCAUGUGAGCCUGGACUAAUAAUCAGGUAUCAUGCUUCUCUGUUUUUAGAUACAAAACAUGUGCCUAUUAUUGGCAAAUCCUUUUUGAACAAGGUCACAAGAAAAGUAAAGUGUUGAAAAUAGCAAAAGACGGAGAGAAAGGGGAAAACGGAGGAGGAAAGGAUAGGGACCAGCUCCCCGUGCCUUCCUGUGGGUCUCAGCUCCCCCAUCCUCUGCCCCGCCUCACUUCCCUUCUCAGUCCCUGUGGAGGAGUAGCUCCCUGCGGCGGGACAAAGCCUGACAAGCCAGACGUGCCACACCUCAAACAGGAUUUUUAACUUGGGCACACAAUAAAUGCAGACUUGCACAUUUCUUUUGAUUUUCUUUUAUCCCCAAUAUUUGCUCUAUUUCAACUAAAACAAUAGUGUUUCCACCUGAAUUUGGCUUUAAAUAGCUGCUUAGUAGCGGUAGUCUAAAUAGCAGCAGAGGAGAAAAUCAAUGAUUCUACCCUUAGUGGCACAAAUGUUAGCAUUUUAAAACAGCCCAUAAUGUAGAUGAAAUCUUGAGGCCAUGGUGAUUAAAAGAAUUAUAUGAUUCUGUUGGGAGAAGAAAAGUGAUGAGAUGGGACACAAGUUAUGUAGGGUAUUCAUAUUUUUUCAUAUUAGUUUGUAGAGUCUACAAACUACAGGACUCAGAGCUUUCCUCCAGAGACCCACUCCACAAGCAUCCAGGACUAUCCUGCUCAAUCUUCUCCAUCUCUUUCACAUCAACUCAUUUCAGCUGCACCUAUCUCACUGUUGAAAACAAGAUCUGACCUUCCCUGCCAUUGUCUGUUUGACUAGCAGGUGACCUGGGGAUGUCAAAAUCAGGGAGGGGAGAAGACUACACACAAAUCAAGGAUGUGAGCUGGAUGAAGAUUCACCUCCACCUCUCACAGGAAUUUAAUGUUUUGUGCUGCGGCUGCCCGCGGUACUCACGUGCAUCAAGGAGUAGUAAGACUGUUUGCCAGUGUAAAACAGGAAGUGGAACGGCCGGCCGUCUGCUCCCCACUGAACAGCUUGAAAAAAAAACCCCAACCAUAUUACAAACUGUUCACACUAAAAAUUUACAGCACAAAUAAGUACAGACUACUUACCUCUCUGCCUUGGAAAUAUUUCCUCUGGAUGCUAAAGAUGAAAACAAUGGAUUUCCGAUAAGCCAAAAAAAAAAGCAAACCCACUUCCCCCCACACCCAUUUCAUCCUUAAAAUCUAAAAACAAUCAAACCAUAAUCAAUGAGCUGAAAUCAAUAUCAAUGUAGGAUUGUUUUAAAAUUGCAGAUCCAGUAACUGUUUAAAAUCAAAAAACCAAUUACAUUUUAUACAGAAAUAAAUGCAAAUAACAAUAGAUUCAGUAUGUAGUAGAAAACAAAAGCAAACUACAACUCUGACAUUUAUCAUGAAUAAUACACAAGUUUAAAUCUUGUGCCAAAUUCACAGAAACAUUUUCCUUUUUUUAAUUACUCUGAAGUGAUUUUACAGAACAGAAACUAGAUACAGAGCAGCCUUACCUUCAUGAGGGGCCGAGCCUUCUUCUCAAACAGGCCAGAGGGAAGUAGGUAGGCGAUACUUCUCUGCGGGUGAGACAGGAAAUAAAUAUAUAAGCCAACCAGGAGAGAACGACUUUGCAGUUUGAGAGAUGGCACUUUAUGAUAGCGCUGACAUGUCCAAACACCAGAGGUCACACUAAUGGACGACAGUGAAAGUGACAGAAGAGGAGGCACAAGCUGCUUGCAGGUUCAAGGAAAGGCGAGUAUGUGUUUGCUGCUAACUGUUGGAGGAGAAAACAAGCAGAAAAAGCCACAAGUUUCUGGCUUUGUUGACAGUGAGCAGAGGACACUGUGGACAUCCAACAGUUCACUCCAAGUUCAUCCUCUGCUGUGUGUGUUCGUGUGUGUGUUAUUAGCAGGGCUACAGAUGGCACCAGAAAUGUGUGUGAGAGAAGAGAGGCAGACAGGAAGUGUGCUGGCCCCGCCAAACUCAUCAAGCCAGGCUGUUCAUGUCCCUCUCUCGUGCCCCGUCCCACCACCUCUCCUUUCGUUUGUUCCUCCUCUGUCGGCUCAAUUAGUUAGGGAGCAGGUGCUGCACAAAGGGAGCAGGUUGCUGCCUUUAAGAUUGUCAAAUCGACGGAAAGCAGGAAGAAAAGGGCCAGUCGAGGGAAGCGUACGUGUGUGUAUGUGCCAAGGUGUGAGAGGCAGAAAGAGGAAGACAAGUGAGGGGAAGCUAAAGGCUAAAAUGAAAAACAGGAAAGAUGGGCAGAGGGGCAGGGAACAGAUGAAGACGCACCUGUAAGUCCCCAGAGCUUCCACACAAUAUGGCAGAGAUCCCUGAGGGGCAAUGAUAGAGUGACAAAGGAAGACAGGGAACGAGCAGCAGCCUAACCGCAGCCCAGAGAGUCAAAUCCUACAAAUCUCAGCAACAUAGGGAAAUCAUGCAAGCUAAAUUUUCCACAGUCUGCAAGACAUUUUUUUUAUUUUGCUGUUCUGUUUCAUCAGACAUGAACUAAUUUCUUUGGUUUUAGUCAUUUUUGUUUGGAAGGUGCUUAAUACUCGUCAAUUGGGAUAAUAAUAACAAUUUAAAUAUUACUUAGUGAUGAUACGCUAAAACUCAUUUUUUAUGUUUUUGGCCAACUGACCCAAAUAAUAAAAGCCUAAAAAAAACCUACUCAACUUUUGGUUUUAAUCUUUUUUCCAUUUAAAAUUUUACUAAUAAACCCUGUCAAUCUAAAAAAAGCCUGUGACGAACCAAACUGAAUGUCAAUAAAUGGAAGGUGACUGGAGGUCUGUUUCAGUUUCAUUACAAGCAUCACUACACAUCUUUUGUAAGUUUGUCGCAGAGACCGUGUUUUAAUUUCUCCACUUGGCUGUAAACAUCCCUUUUUUUUUCCUGCGUCUUCAUCACUGUCACAGUUGGGAGAUUUAUAGGUGCCUUACUUCGGUCCUCUCCAGUCCUGCUAAAUUUGCCCCUUUUCCUCUUCACAUCAUGGUCUGGGCCGCUAGCCUUCACUUUAGCUUUCACGGCUUGGCGCCAACAUCUCUGUUCAUUAUUUGUGAGGGACGCCAGGGACUGGGCGAGCAGAGAGUGGAAAAUCAAGGUAAAAGCCUGGAGCAGUGGGGGCUAAUGUAUUGCCAAAAUCUGGAAUGUUGCUAACAUCCCUGACACCGUGCAUUAGGCAAGGGUGGCCCCACCUGACUGCUGCUGCCGCUGCAGUCUACCCAGGCUAAUAACUAAAUGCCUCUUCAGUCUGAGAGGUGGAACCUGAUCAGUGUUUAAUGCUUUUGUGCCCGUGGAUAUGAUUCUCUGCCUCAAGAGAAAAUGAACAAGGGGGACUUCCUACAACUCAAUAGGUUACAUCAAAUACCUAUUUGUAUUUUAUCUGAUCACCUAUGAACAAACUCCUAAUGAACAAACUCCCAAUGUCUUCUAAUUUCUGCACUUCAGCUGAGAAACUUGGCAGUCUCACAAAGGUAAAUCAAAAAAUAAAACCAAAUGUGUACUUCUGACAUCUUCAGCCAAAUCGUUAGUCGUAAACACAUCUGACCCAACAGGACAUGUCAAAAAUACGUAGUUUCAUAACUAUGUGACAGUCCGAUAUCCUCCAACACAAUGGACGAUGUCAGGUAAAAGUAGACAACUUGUCCUGGUAACAGAACAAGGUAAUCUUGCCUUAAUCUAGUUUUUCCCUGUUGGAAACUACUGUUGUUAGCAAAAAUCAGCUGUAACAAAUGUACAUUCUUGGAUCACAGCCAGAUGAACAACCAGGUUAUUGGAAUAACACCUAUACAUACAGCAGACCAAUCUGAUUUCUCCUCGAGCUUGCUCUUAUUUGCUUUGUGUGAUUACCCCUCUUUAUUGCUUAAUAUAAUUUACACAUGAACUCUUGUAAAUACCCAACAGAAAACCAGGCCCCUCUUCCAAAAAAAUCUGCAAUAUUUGCUACACCCAGACUUAGCAACAUUUCAAAUUAGGACAUUUGCUCUGAUUCUGGUAUUAAUUAUUCUCAGUUUUCAUUUAAUAUUCGAGGAUAAUCACAUUGUGUGAGUGUGGUGGUCAAACCAGAUGUUUGAAAUGCAUGCCAAACAGAGAAAAAUAUAAAAAUGUUGACUUUCGACCUACUGAUUAGACCUUCAACACUAAUCAAUACUUACCGAGGUACUGAUAUAUCAGCUACUAAUAUAAAGUCAUCAGCGUUGAACAGUAAUGUAAAAAAAUACUAAGACCCCAAUGUCCACGUGACUCGAGUCAUGUCAUGGUCAAAUGUUGUUAAAUCACGUCUCGUGCUAAGUCCAGUGCCUACACACACAGACAACAGUUUGCAUACAAGCGCACACACACUUCGCGCUGUCUUACAUCUAUGUCCUCCUGCGUGAAAUUGUCGGGGUCCUCUCCCAUCAUGUUGGCAAGGUGCCUUUUGCCGAUGUUAUAUUCCUCCACCUGCUUCUGAAUGAACUCCACUGUGAACUUCUCGGGUCCUUCAGCAGCCAGGUUCUUUCUGUAGACGGUAGAGCUCAUGCAUAUCUGUCUGCUCAGGACCUGGAGAGACGUAAAGUCAGCAGUUAGUGUGAAAUAGGUCAGUCAACACACCCUAGCUGUGGUCCUAACAGCUGAAGCUAAACUACAAUGCAGCCGAACUGUUGUUAACAGCUACUUUUAAGUUAAGACAGGCAGAAAUAAACAAAUUAAACGCGACGUCAUCUGGAUUUUACCUAACGUUAUCGUAUAGCCAGUUUUGGCUAACAGACACUACAAGGACGUCGCUGCGCUUUAUAAUUCCUUUCUAUCCACCUCUUUAGUUUUAACAUACACCAGUGCGUCGAAUAUUUUAUGGAGAUCGCUCUUUACCUGUCGGUUUAAAUGGGACGUAACUGUUUUUAAAUUCAAACUGCAAAUCCCACAUUUCCCCAGAUAGAUGCCCACGGUUCGCACACUGGACGCCGCCAUGUUUUCCGACAGCAGUGACGUCGCAGCCGGAAGUUCCUCGUUGGGGCCACGUGACAUAACGUAUACGUAGUAAUAACAGCAAUUCAUUUUUCUUCACACAUUUGUUCUCCCAAAAGACUUGCCAAAGACUUGUCUAUUUCUGUGGCAAUGUAUUACUGCAGCUAUUUUGAUUUACUUGUUUAAGAUACUUUUGAUACUUACUUCUGUUUUCUCGUUAUUAGGAGCUAUUUUUUUCAUUAUUACGAGAUAUCGUAAUAUAUCUCGUAAUAAUGUAAUGUAUCUCAUAAUUUUUUAGACACAGGCCGGUUGCUUUUGAAGCUGACAUUUACGCCUGUAAACAGUCAGAUGUAUUGUCUAAAGCAGACCGAACUGUUUGUUAGGGCUGACACACGGAAAUUUUAGUUCAAGUUCGGCCAAAGAAUCAAAGUGCCAGAGUGGCAGUGGCAUUAUUCCUGAUGGGAAAACUUUAAACUCAUGGGAAACUCCACAGAUAUAAGCUACAUCUCAGUUGAACGGAGGAAAGGGACUGCAGCCAAGAUCCGAUCAGACAUGGGCACAGGAAACAGCAUCAUGGAGCAAACGCAAAAAAUCUUGCGUCAGGACCAUGACGACGACUUUGACAUCUAGGGAUCCAGCAACUACAACCAGCGUGAGAGCUGGUGGGUCUUCUUAGGGGACACCACGCACAAUAUUGAAUGAACUGAUUUCAGAAAACUGAGCACACAGGUGUGUUAACUGGCGAUUUCUUGGACAAGCAUCUGGUACUUUUCACAUGUUUGAAGAUCCUCGAGGUGUGUAUUGGCAAGGAAAGAGGGUGAAAGAUAUGGAGAGCGAGAGGAGGGAGAGAAGUGGCAGAGGAAGGGUUUCAUAGAGUUUAAAAAAUUAUAAUAAAACUAAACGGCCUUAUAAGCAUUAGUAGCCUGGUAUUGUACUCACUGUAGUUACAGUCUAGAAAUACCUUUACUGUUAUAGUCUUCUACUUUGAAUCCAUGUUUACAGCUUUAUUCACUAUAUAUUUACACUAUUUAUUAUUAUUUCCAAUGAUGCAUUUACCCGUUACCUGUUUUCAUGCUUUUUCAUUAAUUACUGAAAAUGUUCUUUUGUCCACAAGAUCUUAACAUGUUAUUCAUCUGCCGACAACAUUUGUAAAGUCAGAGCAGUUGCUCCACACAUGAUGUAUGUGCUUCCACAUCUUUUUGGGGGAUGUGAACACUUGAAGGUGGUGUCCUUUAAGCAAUGGAAACAUGCAAAAAAGAAUGUAUGAAUAGAGGAGCAUCCUUGUGACAGCACAGUAUUCAUGCUGUCCUGGCUUUUGAUGUGAGAAAAAAAUCUACAUGCACCAACCAGACCUUAUGAAGCCGUUGAACUGUAUCUCUUUCUAAAGACCUGUGAUGGCAUUAUGCUAAGGUGAAAUAGAGGAGUUCUUUCCAGGAAUACUGAAAGAUUUUCAUCUUCAUUUGUUUGUAUGUACUGCAUUGCUAUCAUCAUGUCCUUAUUACAAAGUAAAUAUUUUUUAGGAAUGCUUAUCUACACUGUACAAUAUAGUGUUCUUGCAAAAAAAAUGUUGGUAGCAGUAAUUUUGCAUGUAUUAUUGUGUUGUGUACUAAAAAUAAAUUUCAAUAUUCAUGGAAAGUUGUUUUCCAUUAGGUCACCCACUACAUUAUUCUAGCAAAUACUCCCACUUUUUGUGCAGAACACUAAUAAAAGUUCAAAUGUCAUGCCGGUGAAAGGGUAUUAAAGGACACUUGUUUAAAUGAAAAGUUCCAAACAGAACAGAAAAGGCAAAAUAAAAAGAAAAAAUAAAGUGUCCAAACCGAGACACGUGACCAUAGACCAAUCUGCCUAAAAUGACAAAUGAGGCAAAUGCAAAGUGUGUACAUCCGAGAGACUCCCACACUUUCAAACAACUGCGUGUAGGCUGCUAAAUUUAACACAGCUUUAUUUUAUCAGUCAUACAUCACAAAUGCCACAGCUCAUUAGAAGCGUGUGUUGUUCAGGAAUGAUCAUGGAAAUACAAAACAUGUUGGCCACAUGGUUCGUCUGUCGUGGUCCAGAACUAAAAUUCCUUGUGUUAGGUUUUGAAGGUUCUAAAUUAACACCAGCAUUCACCAAAUCUUGAAAACCUAACUUCAUAACAACAACUGAAACCUCUGUCUACUGUACUAGUUUGACAAUGAAAUGUUUCACCUGUCUUAUUUUAUCUUGAGAUAUUUUCACAAUGUAACAUUUCCUACUGUAUAACUAAUAUAAAGUUAUUUAAACAACUAUUAUUCUUCAUGAAAUGUGCUCUUAGCUUUUGUGACAGCUGU